rnacentral:rRNA from 1 species
GAUGAACGCUGGCGGCGUGCCUAAUACAUGCAAGUCGAUCGAACAGACGAGGAGCUUGCUCCUCUGACGUUAGCGGCGGACGGGUGAGUAACACGUGGAUAACCUACCUAUAAGACUGGGAUAACUUCGGGAAACCGGAGCUAAUAUCGGAUAAUAUAUUGAACCGCAUGGUUCAAUAGUGAAAGACGGUUUUGCUGUCACUUAUAGAUGGAUCCGCGCCGCAUUAGCUAGUUGGUAAGGUAACGGCUUACCAAGGCAACGAUGCGUAGCCGACCUGAGAGGGUGAUCGGCCACACUGGAACUGAGACACGGUCCAGACUCCUACGGGAGGCAGCAGUAGGGAAUCUUCCGCAAUGGGCGAAAGCCUGACGGAGCAACGCCGCGUGAGUGAUGAAGGUCUUCGGAUCGUAAAACUCUGUUAUUAGGGAAGAACAAAUGUGUAAGUAACUAUGCACGUCUUGACGGUACCUAAUCAGAAAGCCACGGCUAACUACGUG